GGUAAGAUGUAUGCACUAGCUACUUGCAUCAUUGUACAGAUGAUGCAAGAUCGACUAUGUUGAAUAAAAUUCUAGGUAGAAUUAUGAUAAUGACAUUGUCUGCCUAUGUGUCUUGACCAAAUUACGUGCCAGCAGUCGCGGUAAUACGUAGAAGACUAGUGUUAUUCAUGUUUAAUCGGUUUAAAGGGUACCUAGACGGUAGAUCAAGCUUUUACAUAUAAAUUAUGAUAAUUAAAGGACUAAUUUACUAGAGUUACUUACGAGGGGGCAUUAAAGUACUGCUGGUGUAGAGAUGAAAUUCUGUCAUACCUCUUUUCGAAAGAAAAAUCAUGGCACAGGUAUAGGCGAAGGCAUCCCCUUAUGUGAUAACUGACGUUGAGGGACGAAGGCUUUGUGUAACAAACAGGAUUAGAUACCCUAGUAGUUGAAGCAGAAAAUGAUGAAUGUCAUAGAUUAGAUAUAUAAGUUUAUUCUAUAAAUGAAAGUGUAAGCAUUCCACCUCAUGAGUAAUUUGGCAACAUUGGAACUGAAAUCAUUAGACCGUUUCUGAAACCAGUAGUGAAGUAUGUUGUUUAAUUUGAUGAUCCGCAAAAAAC
rnacentral:rRNA from 1 species